AUGUACAGUUUGGAUGUUAUUCUGCCACUAAUGCACUUGGUCUUGUUUUCAUGCAUAGGAUUCUGGAAAGUAGGUCCAGGUGGAUGUUUUGCUCCAUUCCUUUCAACAAAAUGCAUGAAUAAUUGA
rnacentral:rRNA from 1 species